GGGAAACACAAAAGAGGUGGAUUUCUUAGGGGAAAUCUAAGCUAGGCAAGAGUUUACCACAAGAAAACAUCAAGGAAAAGAAGCCGCUUUCUGAGUUUCUGGUGAUGGGGAUUGGAUAAUAAAAGGCUGGGGAUAUGCCACUCACCUUGGACACUGCAGCAGAGGUCUGGGACAAACGACAGAAAGCCAGUAGAAGGCCUCUGUCUAAAGAAAACAGCUACCAGGGCACCUGGAUGGCUCAGAUGGUUAAGCGUCUGCCUUCAGCUCAGGUCAUGAUCUCAGGGUCCUGGGAUCGAGCCCCGC